rnacentral:tRNA from 1 species
CCGACCUUAGCUCAGUUGGUAGAGCGGAAGACUGUAGAUCUUUAGGUCGCUGGUUCGAUUCCGGCAGGUUGGA